AACGAACGCUGGCGGCAGGCUUAACACAUGCAAGUCGAACGCAUGCCUUCGGGCAUGAGUGGCAGACGGGUGCGUAACGCGUGGGAACCUAACCCUUGGUACGGGAUAGCUCCGGGAAACUGGAGAUAAUACCGUAUGUGUCCUGAGGGACAAAGAUUCAUCGCCAAGGGAUGGGCCCGCGUCGGAUUAGCUAGUUGGUGGGGUAACGGCCUACCAAGGCGACGAUCCGUAGCUGGUCUAAGAGGAUGAUCAGCCACAUUGGGACUGAGACACGGCCCAAACUCCUACGGGAGGCAGCAGUGGGGAAUAUUGGACAAUGGGCGCAAGCCUGAUCCAGCCAUGCCGCGUGAGUGAUGAAGGCCCUAGGGUUGUAAAGCUCUUUCACCGGUGACGAUAAUGACGGUAACCGGAGAAGAAGCCCCGGCUAACUUCGUG
rnacentral:rRNA from 1 species